CUAACGGGAAUCGUCCUUGCU
rnacentral:miRNA from 1 species